rnacentral:rRNA from 1 species
AGUGUACCCGCGGCAAGACGGAAAGACCCCGUGAACCUUUACUAUAGCUUGACACUGAACAUUGAGCCUUGAUGUGUAGGAUAGGUGGGAGGCUUUGAAGUGUGGACGCCAGUCUGCAUGGAGCCGGCCUUGAAAUACCACCCUUUAAUGUUUGAUGUUCUAACGUUGACCCGUGAUCCGGGUUGCGGACAGUGUCUGGUGGGUAGUUUGACUGGGGCGGUCUCCUCCUAAAGAGUAACGGAGGAGCACGAAGGUUGGCUAAUCCUGGUCGGACAUCAGGAGGUUAGUGCAAUGGCAUAAGCCAGCUUGACUGCGAGCGUGACGGCGCGAGCAGGUGCGAAAGCAGGUCAUAGUGAUCCGGUGGUUCUGAAUGGAAGGGCCAUCGCUCAACGGAUAAAAGGUACUCCGGGGAUAACAGGCUGAUACCGCCCAAGAGUUCAUAUCGACGGCGGUGUUUGGCACCUCGAUGUCGGCUCAUCACAUCCUGGGGCUGAAGUAGGUCCCAAGGGUAUGGCUGUUCGCCAUUUAAAGUGGUACGCGAGCUGGGUUUAGAACGUCGUGAGACAGUUCGGUCCCUAUCUGCCGUGGGCGCUGGAGAACUGAGGGGGGCUGCUCCUAGUACGAGAGGACCGGAGUGGACGCAUCACUGGUGUUCGGGUUGUCAUGCCAAUGGCACUGCCCGGUAGCUAAAUGCGGAAGAGAUAAGUGCUGAAAGCAUCUAAGCACGAAACUUGCCCCGAGAUGAGUUCUCCCUGACUCCUUGAGAGUCCUGAAGGAACGUUGAAGACGACGACGUUGAUAGGCCGGGUGUGUAAGCGCAGCGAUGCGUUGAGCUAACCGGUACUAAUGAACCGUGAGG